rnacentral:tRNA from 1 species
GGGGGCAUAGCUCAGCGGUUAGAGCAGUCGGCUCAUAACCGAUUGGUCACUGGUUCAAACCCAGUUGCCCCCACCA